rnacentral:tRNA from 2 species
GGCUCCAUGGUCAAGAGGCUAAGACAUCGCCCCUUCACGGAGGUAACACUGGUUCAAUUCCAGUUGGAGUCA